GUUUUAAAUUUCAAGUAUAUAGUUACGGAAAUAAUAAUUUUAGUUUAAUACCAUCAUCAGGUUGUAUAACAUGAUGUCUUAUAUGUUAUAACUCGUGAAGACUUGUUUUUAAACAAUUAAUUCCAUAAAUUAUGUAUAAAAGUGUCAAUUAUCUCAAAUCUACUAUGUUGUAUUUGUUCAUCAAUAUUUUAAUAGCAUAUUAUUUUGUCGUUAGUUUUGUCGUGUUUUGCAUCUCAUGAUUAGCCUGAGUAGGUAUACGACGUACACGCACAUUCUUACAAUUAUAUCAUAGAAAAUAAAUGAGCAAUGCUAUUAAUUAUGUCUGAUGUGUGUAUUCAUUACUGACCCAUACUGGCCAUACAGUAUUGUUAGUUAUUACCUAAUUGUUAGUUGUUUAAUAUUAUUUGUUUGACUCAAGUCUAAAAUCGAUGAAAUGGAGGAAUGUAUGAAGUAAGCAUCAUUUUUACUUAAUACUUACCUAGGUACCUAUUUUAUUACUUAAUACAUAUUUUACUAAAUACCAUUACUUGAUGCACAUAGCGUGAUGAACUCAUCCAUACAAUACCAAUAUUAAUAUAUUAUUUAAUUUUUGAGAUUUUUACCAAAACAUAAAAAAAAAAUUGAAUUAUAAGAAUUUGAAGCUUUAUCCAUGUGAGUAAUAUAUAAAAAAAAAUUAAAUUAAAUUAAUUAAUUAAUAAUAAUAAUAAUUAAUUAAAAAAUUAAAAUAAAUAGAAAUUAUCUCUGGGGAUAAUACAGUGGGAAUAUCUUUGUGGGACACUGUAUAUUAUACAUAACAAUUUUAUUUCGUUUAAUAAACAGUCCAUCAAUUAAUAUCUGAAGUGUUGUUUGGUUAUUUUAGUAUGCAGAUUUUAGAUACAUUUUAAAUUUUUUUAUGUUAUAAUUAAUAUUUUCCAGAGGUCAAAAUUAUUAACUUAUGGUGGAGCUAACAUAUCAAGUGCAACAAAAAUUAUUUUUACAAAAAUGUUAUCAAAUGAACUUGGAACUAAGAUCACAUUGACUGUAUUAUCUGCAAUAGGACUGGACCUGAAAAAAAAAAACAAGUAUUCUCAAAACAAAUGUUUGAACUUCUUAUAGGUGAAAAUAAACAAUUUGCACCUUUACAAAUAAUAAAUUAAUACAAUUGCAAGCCUGGAAUAUGUUUUUGGAAAAAAUUUGAAUUUACCUACUUUUAGUCAUCUCUUAUUUUAAUAUAAUAUUUCUGUAAUUUUGUUUUUUGUGACGUACAUUUUGAAGAUGAUUGAAUAAAUUAGAGGGAAAACUUGAAUAAAAUAUGUAUGUAUAUACAUUUAUAUUUAAUAAGUAAAAAUAAAUUACCAAAAAGUAAAAAAUGAAUUGCAUUUUAAAUUAGUAUAAUUUAUGUGUUUUAGAUAUUUAAAAAAAUGUUUUUCAAGUAUUACUUAAAAGUUAGUGAAGAAAUCAAUUAGUAAAUGGUUAAAGCAGGCCAAAGACCGCCUAAGCAGGGAAAAGCUUAAUACUAAUGAUAAUAAUUCAGACAUAAUUGUUUUUACUAAAACUAUAUGAAUAUGUUAUAUAAUAAAUUAUUAUUUUUUACUUAUUAUUUCCCUACUGUUUCCUUUGUUUCUAGAGCUCUAAUAAUUAUAACUGGC